UUCGCAAUGCCCGAAAGGGUGACGAAGCGACGCCGCGUGGGUGAGGAAGGCCCUCGGGUUGUAAAGCCCUGUCAGGAGUUAAGAAAUGUAGGUACGCUAAUAUCGUAUCUAUUUGACAAAGGCUCCAAAGGAAGCCACGGCUAACUCUGUGCCAGCAGCCGCGGUAAUACAGAGGUGGCAAGCGUUGUUCGGAAUUAUUGGGCGUAAAGAGCACGUAGGUGGAUUUGUAAGUCAGAUGUGAAAGCCUUCUGUUUAAAGGAAGAAUAGCAUCUGAAACUGCAAAUCUUGAGUGUAGGAGGGGAGAGUGGAACUUCUGGUGGAGCGGUGAAAUGCGUAGAUAUCAGAAGGAACGUCGGCGGCGAAAGCGACUCUCUGGCCUAUUACUGACACUGAGUGUGCGAAAGUUAGGGGAGCAAACGGGAUUAGAUACCCCGGUAGUCCUAACCGUAAACGAUGGGCACUAAGUAGAGGGGUUUU
rnacentral:rRNA from 1 species